rnacentral:rRNA from 1 species
GGUUACCUACGGGGGGCAGCAGUGAGGAAUAUUGGUCAAUGGUCGGGAGACUGAACCAGCCAAGCCGCGUGAGGGAUGAAGGUACAGAGUAUCGUAAACCUCUUUUGUCAGGGAACAAAGGCGGGGACGUGUCCCCGGAUGAGUGUACCUGAAGAAAAAGCAUCGGCUAACUCCGUGCCAGCAGCCGCGGUAAUACGGAGGAUGCGAGCGUUAUCUGGAUUUAUUGGGUUUACAGGGUGGGGAGGCGGUCUGUUAAGUCAGCGGUGCAAGCAGGGGGCUCACUCCCGGCCCGCCGU